CUGCAUGAGCACCCGCGUGAGUGAGAAGGGUUUCGGCUCGUAAAACUCUGUUGUUGGAGAAGAACGUGCGUAAGAGUAACUGUUUACGCAGUGACGGUAUCCAACCAGAAAGUCACGGCUAACUACGUGCCAGCAGCCGCGGUAAUACGUAGGUGGCAAGCGUUAUCCGGAUUUAUUGGGCGUAAAGCGAGCGCAGGCGGUUGCUUAGGUCUGAUGUGAAAGCCUUCGGCUUAACCGAAGAAGUGCAUCGGAAACCGGGCGACUUGAGUGCAGAAGAGGACAGUGGAACUCCAUGUGUAGCGGUGGAAUGCGUAGAUAUAUGGAAGAACACCAGUGGCGAAGGCGGCUGUCUGGUCUGCAACUGACGCUGAGGCUCGAAAGCAUGGGUAGCGAACA
rnacentral:rRNA from 1 species